rnacentral:rRNA from 1 species
AGUGAACGCUGGCGGUAGGCCUAACACAUGCAAGUCGAACGGCAGCACAGUAAGAGCUUGCUCUUACGGGUGGCGAGUGGCGGACGGGUGAGGAAUACAUCGGAAUCUACUUUUUCGUGGGGGAUAACGUAGGGAAACUUACGCUAAUACCGCAUACGACCUACGGGUGAAAGCAGGGGAUCUUCGGACCUUGCGCGAUUGAAUGAGCCGAUGUCGGAUUAGCUAGUUGGCGGGGUAAAGGCCCACCAAGGCGACGAUGCGUAGCUGGUCUGAGAGGAUGAUCAGCCACACUGGAACUGAGACACGGUCCAGACUCCUACGGGAGGCAGCAGUGGGGAAUAUUGGACAAUGGGCGCAAGCCUGAUCCAGCCAUACCGCGUGGGUGAAGAAGGCCUUCGGGUUGUAAAGCCCUUUUGUUGGGAAAGAAAAGCAGCAGGUUAAUACCCCGCUGUUCUGACGGUACCCAAAGAAUAGGCACCGGCUAACUUCGUG